rnacentral:rRNA from 1 species
UGGUGGAGUGAUUUGUCUGGUUAAUUCCGUUAACGAACGAGACCUCGACCUGCUAAAUAGUUUGCCAUAUGUAAAUAUGAGUAUGACUUCUUAGAGGGACUAUCGGUGUGUAGCCGACGUAAGUUCGAGGCAAUAACA